rnacentral:lncRNA from 1 species
CUAACAUGCAGCAGCAAGAAAGGAAGUUUCAGAGCUCACAGACUCAUACAUUCUGCUGUCAGAAUAACACACAGCAACAGAAUCUUACAGAAUCCUUUCAGAAGACAAACACAGGGCUGUCUUCAGCUCCUCAUCACUACCAAGAUAUCCCAUUCCUUCUUCUCAUUCAUUCUGGCCUCUUUUUCCUGCUUAUAUUGUGUCUUCUUUUCCUUACACUAUCCCAAUGAGUCCAAUUUUCACUCUAAUCCCAAAGUGGCUUCCCACACAAGCUCAACACUCUCUCCUAGGAUAUUGCUCCAUUUCUCCUUCGCUAGCCACCACCAGUUAUCCACUCCAAUCUCUUCUCCCUUCAGUUCAUGUUCAUUCACCUGUAUCUGUUUUCAGUUGAUUGUUAGGCUUUCACCCAUGCCACCUCCACCACACCAUCUCUUUCCAGCUCCCAUUUGAUCUCAUUAUUCCCUUCUCUCCUGUCAAUUGAUUUUCAGUCCCGUUGGCUCACAAUUCACACCUCCAGCUUCAAGGCAUCAAUGCUUCUCAGAAAGAGUAUUGCCAGAGUACAUUUACAAUACAAAAAUAUAUAAAUGUUACCCAACUCCAUUGGAUGUAUUCUUUUUGCUGACACUUUGUAUAAAAUUGUAUCCUGAGGCAAAGAACCCGCCUGGAAGAUUUCAGCCAAAAAGGUUAAAAUUUAGUAAAAUUAAAAGUGAGUCACUUAUAGUAAAACUCUGGGUAAUGUCAAAUAAUUUUAAUCAUAACAGGCAUAUUGGGCCCAGCCUGAUAUAAUGAAGAACAAAAUAUGUUGAAUUAAUGUAUAAGGACAUGGAAACUGAGAAAAGAUAGAGUACAGAUACAUAAGUGUUAAAUAGAUAGUUAUUUUAUACAAUAUUUUAUAGGUUAGGAGAAGGGGGAGUAGAGGGGAAGAAGGAAGGGGGGAGGACACGACUGGAGGGUAGAGGGGAGGUUUUAUAAAUGCAUUCAAGCUUAUGUUCUGCUUUGAAAAACUUCAUCUUUGAUGAAUUGCUAUUUUUGUGAUUAAGCCUCUGUUUAUCAGAGAAGUCUAGACUGGUUGCAGGUGUAGAAGCUCAUUCCCUGCUAGAACUAUUGAUGUGUAGCUCUGCUACAUGGGGAGAUAUGCCAGUAGAUCCUAAUAGCACCACAUCCACCAGCUUGAUUUGUCCUUACCAGCUCCUACAGGGCAAUGCUUUCAUCUUUAUAGUGUCACUCUGUGGUUAUCCAUAGUGAAUACACUAUUGUUAGGGUAAUUCUAGUGUAGCUACACAAAUGAAGCUGAUCUUGGAGUGCUCCCAGAGCAUCAGGGUUGGUGGUUGCCUGUCCUCAGCUGCCUUUUAUUUAUACUGCAUAAAUGGCACUUUCCCCCUAGAUCACAUGCCUGGUGACUGCAGUGGGUCAUAUUGCUGGUGCCUAGGCUCAUUUUAUGAACGUUUCAUGGAUCCCAAUCAUGGAAAAUGUGUUCUGCUCCAAAAUAUUAUCAGAUUUUAAAAUAACUGCAAUAAAUACUGGGUCCUGGAAGUUUGCA